UGGAGAUUAGUUCUUGAGUGAUGAAGGUGAUGAACGCGCGCAAGAACAGUUUGAAUUUUCCAGAAUUCCAUGCUUUGAUCUUCGUUUGCGCUACUGUUCAUGUAGUUAUGGGUUUGCGCGCUAGUUUUUGAGCCUGUAUAGGCUUCGAUCCCGCUGUGCGGCCAGAUCUCACUUUUGCCUUUUGUAUUUAUUUUCACUAUGUAUACAUGAUUCCACAUGCUUGUUCAUCUUUUUUUUUUAUUUUUUUCUCAACAUUAAAAAUCAUAUCUCA
rnacentral:lncRNA from 1 species